rnacentral:ncRNA from 2 species
UAAAUACGUGUACAAACAGGUGCAGAUAAAUUCACCAUCUUUUAUCUGCUUAAAAGGGAAGUUCGGUUAGAAUCCGACGCUGUCCCGCAACUGUAAUUGGGAGCGAUUCGAAGAUGCCACUGUUUUCGCCAGCCGAAAAUGGGAAGGUUCGAAAAGCGAUGAACAUAAGCCAGGAGACCUGCCUGUUUGAGCACAACAUC